CUGAGCCAAAUACUUCCUCAGUCUAACAAGUUCGUCCCCGUCGAUUCUCGUUGCGCAAAGUUCAUGUACAUCAGAGAGCAGCUCGCAGGCUAUAAGGGUAGAUACACCACCACCGCCGACCGAACUGGAAUGGAUAUUUUCAUAUUGGGUAUGCAAUCUUAUUUUCAAUGAGAGACGCAAUAUCUCCGAGGGAAGUUUUGAAAGUGAAAUCAAGUAAAAUUUCGGUAACGAAAAAACAAUCGUGUGCAGGGCAUUAAGUGACACUUGUGAUUAAUAAAUUUGUUAAAUUCUAGUAAGGUGUAAUUUUUAUUUUGACGAAAUACUGGCAAAGGUAUUGAUCGAAGGUAAUUCUUGCAAAGAAUGUGUGAACGCUAGAAAGUGAUCACGCGCUAACGGAAUAAAGGUGAGACGUACAAACGUAAAAAGUUACGUUAAUCAAAACCACAGACAUGAGAUCAUAUUUUCAGAUUGUGGUCGACCACUGUGUCGUUAUAAAAUUCUAUAUUGUUACUUCUUUAUUUGAUUUCAAUAAACAAAAAAUAAUUUAAUAAUA